rnacentral:misc_RNA from 1 species
GAUGAAGAACGCAGCGGAAUGCGAUAAGUAAUGUGAAUUGCAGAAUUCAGUGAAUCAUCGAAUCUUUGAACGCACAUUGCGCCCGCCAGUAUUCUGGCGGGCAUGCCUGUUCGAGCGUCAUUUCAACCCUCAGGCCCCCAGUGCCUGGUGUUGGGGAUCGGCAGCAGGGCGUCAAGCCCGCCGGCCCCGAAAUCUAGUGGCGGUCUCGCUGUAGUCCUCCUCUGCGUAGUAGCACAACCUCGCAGUUGGAACGCGGCGGUGGCCAUGCCGUUAAACACCCCACUUCUGAAAGUUGACCUCGGAUCAGGUAGGAAUACCCGCUGAACUUAAGCAUAUCAAUAAGCGGAGGA